UGGGGGAAACCCUGACGCAGCGACGCCGCGUGCGGGAUGGAGGCCUUCGGGUUGUGAACCGCUUUUGUUAGGGAGCAAGUGAGAGUGAGUGUACCUUUCGAAUAAGGACCGGCUAACUACGUGCCAGCAGCCGCGGUAAUACGUAGGGUCCAAGCGCUGUCCGGAAUUAUUGGGCGUAAAGGGCUCGUAGGCGGUUCGUCGCGUCUGGUGUGAAAGCCCAUUGCUUAACGGUGGGUUUGCGCUGGAUACGGGCGGGCUUGAGUGCGGUAGGGGAGAACGGAAUUCCCGGUGUAACGGUGGAAUGUGUAGAUAUCGGGAAGAACACCGAUGGCGAAGGCAGUUCUCUGGGCCGUGACUGACGCUGAGGAGCGAAAGCGUGGGGAGCGAACAGGAUUAGAUACCCUGGUAGUCCACGCUGUAAACGGUGGAUGCUGGAUGUGGGGCCCAUUUCCACGGGUUCUGUGUCGGAGCUAACGCGUUAAGCAUCCCGCCUGGGGAGUACGGCCGCAAGGUUAAAACUCAAAGAAAUUGACGGGGGCCCGCACAAGCGGCGGAGCAUGCGGUUUAAUUCGAUGCAACGCGAAGAACCUUACCUGGGUUUGACAUGUGGACGAUGAUGGCAGAGAUGCUGUUUCCCUUCGGGGGCGUCCUCACAGGUGGUGCAUGGCCGUCGUCAGCUCGUGUCGUGAGAUGUUG
rnacentral:rRNA from 1 species